rnacentral:rRNA from 1 species
GAUGAACGCUGGCGGCGUGCCUAAUACAUGCAAGUCGAGCGAACAGACGAGGAGCUUGCUCCUCUGACGUUAGCGGCGGAUGGGUGAGUAACACGUGGAUAACCUAUCUAUAAGACUGGGAUAACUUCGGGAUAACGGAGCUAAUAGCGGACAAUAUAUUCAACCGCAUGGUUCAAUAGUGAAAGACGGUUUUGCUGUCCCUUAUAGAUGGAUUCGCGCCGCAUUGGCUAGUUGGUAAGGUAACGGCUUACCAAGGCGAGGAAGCGUAGCCGACCUGAGAGGGUGAUAGGCCACGCUGGACCGGGAACACGGUCCAGACCCCUGGGGGAGGCAGCAGGAGGGAAUCUUCCGCAAUGGGCGAAGGCCGGACGGAGCAACGCCGCGGGAGUGAUGAAGGUCGUCGGAUCGUAAAACUCUGUUAUUAGUGAAGAACAAAUGUGUAAGUAACUAGGCACGUCUUGACGGGACCUAAACAGAAAGCCACCGCUAACUACGGGC